GUGUAAUCAUUCAUGUCCGGACUCAUCGAAACGAUGGAGAUUCUAUUUUUAUUGCUGGGAUUUCUCUUCUUUGUUAAAGGUUGUGCUGGCCUUACUCUUUAUGGAGAGGUCGGAGGGACGGCCGUAUUUCAAUGCCACUCAACUAUGGAGAACAUCAAUUUUAU